rnacentral:tRNA from 1 species
GCUACUAUGAUGGAAAGGUAGACAUACUGGACUUAAAAUCCAGGGGCUUCAUCGCCAUAUGAGUUCAAAUCUCAUUAGUAGUA